UCUAGCCCUGACAUCAUCUCAGAGUCGAAGUGUCAGUGAGGUUUGCAGACGCUGUGGAGAUGUAGAAGGUGCCUGAUCUCAUCAGGGCAGACACCUGGCUCAUAGAAUAGCUUGGUUCCCUAAAGAAGUGAACAGGAUGUUUCUCGGAGCAAAGAAACCAUAGGACUUACAGGACUAUGCCCAUCCCUGUCCCCCUUACCUCCAGCCCCCCUCAGAACCUUUCUUCUUAUAAUACAUGAUGCUUUUGGCCUGAGACACUACCAUUUGGAAUAAGCAAGUUGAUGGUUGUUAGGUCUGCUGGAAGCUUCCAGUGCACAUGGUUGAGGCCGGCUACCCCGAAUCUCCAAGCACUCACAGACGUACUGAUGCGGAGCCUCUACUGCCCAGGGCUUUGGCUGUGUCUGUUGAGUUCUGCACCUGGCCCCCGAGGGCAAGGAAGGUGCUGAUCAGGAGGUCACAGACAGGUCCAGCAGGAAGAAUGCCGUGUGGCUGCGGAGCUGCUCCCCUGGCUCAGUGGCCGUGAAUAGUCCUGGACAUCACACUGCUUCCCUUUCAGGCCAGCUGUGAGGGCCCACUCCCUUGCCACCAGAAGCCCCACCUGUGACAGGGCCUGGAGAGGGGCUUGGCCGGUUGUCCAGCAAUUCCAGGCAGAUGCAAAUGGGAGGCUUUAGCAGGUGUGUGAUCCCAGUCCCCACUGUGUUCUCUCGAGGGACAUCUAGGAUGUCACGCUACCCCCCUUCCAGAAGAGCCCUGUACAAGGCCGAGCCUGAAGCCACUUCCUUCUGUCAUCCCCAGAGCCAUUUGUACUGCCGGCCACCAGUUGCCACAGCUAUCAGUGGCAGCUGCUUUGUGGUCAUCUUGUGGGUCUAGCUGGCUGGCUCUGGUCCACGCCCUCUGUGGGCACAGUCCUCGAGUGAGGCUGUGGGUGGUCUUGGGACCCCUCUCACCCAGGGCAGAGCUGACAGCUCCCCACUUUCUGAGUUGGGGGGUAGGUGGGUCCGUCCUGGGGAAGGUCAAUGGCUGCUUGCUUCUGAAAUGUCUGCCACACUUCUGAGGACACUCUUAGAUCCAGUUUCCCUGCAACUCCUGUGGGGAUUGGUGGGAGUUCUUGUGGUGGCCAGCCAGUGUUUAUGCUGAAGCUGAUGCACGCUCUCACUCAUCCAAUCAUCCACCUGCGGCGGUUAGUCUUUACUGCAAAUGCGAUGCCAUCUAGAAUAACUUGGGAAGAGAGUCUCAGUGGAGGAUUGUCCAGAUCAGGUAGGUUGACCUGUGGGCACAUCUGCGGGCAACUGUCUUGAUGAUGUUAAUUGAGCUUAAAAGUGGGUGACACUAUUCUCUGGGUUUGGGUCAUGGACUAUACAAAACAGGAGAAAGUGAGCCGAGUGCAGGCAUGCAAGCAUGCAUUCUCUGCUCUUGACCAUGGAUGAGACCAGCUGCUUCAAGUCCCCACCCCACCCCCCCCCACCAUCUUGACUUCCUGCUGUGAUGGACCGUAGCCUGGAACUGUGAGCUAAAGCAAACCCUUCCCCCACUAAAUCGCUUUUGCUGGGGUGGGUUUUGUUUGUUUUUUUGUUUUUUCGAGACAGGGUUUCUCUGUGUAACAGCCUUGCCUGUCCUGAAGCUCGCUUUGUAAACCAGGCUGGACUCGAACUGACAAGAAAGAGAUCGGCCUGCCUCUGCCUCCCGAGUGCUGGGAUUAAAGGAGUGUGCCACCACGCUGGGCUUGUCAGGGUGUUUUUUAUGACAGCAACAGAAAACAGGACACCCUCUAUCCGAUCAACUUGGUGGCAGGAGGCCUCCAUGUGCCUGGCCCUGGGCUCCUGCAGGGACCUCACAGAGCUCAGGUUAGCUGCUGCAUUGAGUCUGGGAAAGGGUGGCAAUAAGGGACAGGUGGGGCCGGGAAGGCCCCUGGGGGUGACAGCUGGAUGGAGUGACCCUCCGGAGAUUGAACAGGUAUGUAUGUAUGGAGGGGUGGGGUGUCACAGGAGACACUUACAUACACAGUCACUCUCUAUAUUCACAAGAGACGGAAGGAAUGCCCAUGGAGUAAUUCUGGGACUCCCAGCUCUUGGCUCCUCUCAUGAGGUGGAUGAGGUGAAACAGGUCUUACGUGGCCCUAGGAUGCUGUCAAGUUUUGGCUCUGCCUGCCUUGAAGGACUCCUACUGCUUCAGAGAUCCUAACCCAUAGGGUCCACCCAUCUGUGGUGGGUGGCCUGGGGCGGGCUCAUGCCCUUCUCCAUAGCUGUCUUCACUUACCCCCUUCCUCCUGUCCAAAGAUGCCCUGUGUCUUCACCUUCUGGGUUCAGCAACCAAGGACCACUGCCAUAGCAACCAGUGGUUCCUCCCCCAUCUCUCUCUUCCUUCUCCCCAUCCCCCAGAGUCACUUUCUACCUUCACAAGAGGGGGAAGGAAGGCCCGUGAGGUAGCUCUGGGACUCCUGGCUCUUGGCACCUCUCAGUCUGCUGUCCCCUCCUUCCACAAGCGAGAUCCACUCCUUGCUGAUUUUUGAGACCCAAGAACUUCUUGAGACGCAUAGUGUCACUCCAGGUAAUGGAGGUGGCACCAUCUGUCCUCAGCUGGGAUGGAGAGCUGAGCUUGUAGGAGAGGGGCCAUCUCCUCACAGACACCACGGUUGGGUGGGGUAGCCUUAUCUCCCCAACUCAUUUCAAAUCUAGAAAAUGAUGUGACUUCCCUCUAGCUGUAUCCUGGAGUUGGCUGCCUCCAUCCAGACCGACCUGGACCACAGCUGGUGUGUGGAAAUGGUCACCUGAGACAACUACACCUGCCCCAUGGAAGGCUGAGCUGCUGAUAAGGGAGGUUGGACAGGCCUGAAUGCAUUCUCAUUGACCUUGGGAGUCAGGGGUGCUUGAUGGAUGAAUGGGCAUAAAAGAAAAAAGCAAGCCCACCCCAGGGCACCCUACAGUAAAGCCCAGAGAUACCCCUCACUUCUUCCCAUCAGCCCUGCUGUGAAUUCAUGAGGUUGAUACAACGUCAUCCAUGCUGAUAGGUUUUCCAUGGUAAUAGCCUGGUUUUCCAGAAAUCUUUCAAGCCCAAACCUUAUCCUGGGCCACCCAAUAUCACAUGCUUGCUCUUCUUUGGCGGUGACCUGCUCCAGAGCCCAGCAUCCCCUCGAAGUCCAUCUCUAUGAAGGUACACUCCUGGAUAUCAAAGCUCCCUAAGAGGUAUCCAUGCCUAGGUGGGUGAAAUAGAGAGUCUCCGCUACAAGGGUGCCUGCUUCCCAGUGAGCUUGGGCUGGGCAGCUGGGCAGGAAGCUGCAGUAUCUGCCCCACAAAGCACUUGGUAGCACACAGUGGGAGGGCAGGGCUGUGUGUGUCCCAGAUGUGACCUUAGGGACCCAUCCGCUGCCUCCUUUCUAAGGACAAUAGGCCCUAGCACCUGGCAGGGUUAACUGACGGAUUCUAAUGCUCUUCCAGCUGGGGUUUUCCCCAGGGCUCCAAAGGCUGCCAGGAGGGACCAGUACCCCACCCAUUGAAACUGGUUUUCUCUCGUGUAGGGUGGAAGCUGAUGCAGCUGGAGGCCCAGGAGGGAGCAGAAACUGAACAGGCUGUACCCAGGAAUGCAAAUGUCCCCAUCCUCAGAAAAGGGAAGGGCACAAACCACCACUGAAACUGGCAGCUGGCUCUGAGCACAGCAGAGCAAAACUUCUCUGCCUCAUGUCAACUCUGCCUUGCUGGGGGGAGUGGCAAUGGACAGGCAGUCAUCUGCUUGUGCUAACUGUGACAUCCUGCCAUGGGGACCCAGUUUGUCACCCCCAAAUCUAUCAGAGUGCUACUGCACUGUCAUGGCCAAUGUACUGUGCCCAGCCAGCUGGUCUAUUACCUGGCCAUCAGAAUAUACCAGAAGAUCAGGUCCUGCCCAAAGCAGGACAGGGAGGAGAGGCUGGGCAGUGGAGGGCAUUGAUCCCAGCCUCAGGGAGGAGUACUGUAGGCAUCUCGGUGCUUACUCAGUAUGUUUUACCCUCCACAGCAGGUACUUGGAUCUGAGUGAGCUGCAGGUCCUGUGAGCUCACAGCACAUAAGGCCCAGGGUGGGGAUGAGUUGAAUCUCUUCGCAGCUAAUACCCACAUACAAGCGAAUAUGUAUCAAAUUUGUCUUUCUGGGUCUGGGUUACCUCAGUCAGGAUGGUUUUUCUUGUUCUAUUCACUUGCCUGCAAAUUUCACGAUGCCAUUUUGUAACAGCUGAGUAAUGCUCCGUUGUGUAAAUCUCUACCUGCAGGUGGGGUCCUGGGCAAUGAAGGAAGCCUGGUCGAUGGCCUCUCUAGGGACUGUCAGAGGUACUGAUAUUCUACAUGGAAGGCCAUUCCCCAGUUCAGCCAGGCUCUCCUGCAGCCGGCCCGACACUUGGCAGGAAUCAUCCCAAUUCUUAGGGCUUCCUGCUAUAGAGUAAGCCCAGUGACCUUGGAGUUAAGCUCAUGAGUAAAUCAAGAAUGACUCAGUAUGAAGCUUCUGUUAAGACUGUGUCAUGGAAAGGUCCAGAAGGAAGGUUCAUCCUGGCAGCACAUGACUGGGACCACCGUGGGCCACUUAGAGCCAAGCGGCCAGGCUGGAACACUUCUUAGUCCUUGUCUGGCUGGAGUCCAGCAGAGGGUACACAAGUAGCCGAAGAGAUGGCCCCCAGGCACAGUCUGCAGCCAGAAGGCCUCCACUCUGACCCUGGUUCACUCUUGUCUCUAUAUAUUACCAUUUUAAGGCUGGUGAGAUUUGGUGAUUAAUGCACUUGCCACACAAGCUCACAGGCCAGGCAGCCUAGCCCAUUCGGCAAGCUCUAGGUUCAAUGAGAGAUCCUCUCUAAAAAUAAGGUUACAAGUGAUUGAGGAAGCCACCAGAGUUGACCUCUGUCCUCCACGUACGUGUUUGCACCACACAAGCACACACAAUUUAUCGUUUUAAUGAUUUCUUAGUGGUGUCUCUGAGCAUGCUCAAUAUUGGACAGUGGUCACUGCCAUCAACUUCCCAUCUGUCCACACUAAAGUUUAGUCCCCACUAAACAACAAUCUCUUGGGUGCCCUCUCUGGUCCUCGUACCUACCUUUCUGCUUUCUGUCUCUACCAAUUUGGCCCUGAAGACUCUUGUUUGUUUUCUGAAACAAGGUCUCCUGCACUCUAGGCUGGGCCUCCAACUCGCUGUGUAGAUGAGGAGUGAUCUUGAAUUUCUGAUACUCCUGUCAUCUCACCAGUACUGGGACGACAGCCAUGACAGCCAUACUGGCUUCUACGGACUUCUCGUGAAUUUGCAGCGUCUUUCACCCAAGGCUCAGGCCUGUCUCGUCAGAAUUUCUCUCUCUUUCAGGAGCAGGUAGUAUCUGUUCUCACCUGUGGAUGACUCCUCAGCGCUUCUGGUUUUGUGUGACUCCACUGACCAGCAGCACCGUAAACACAUGCCAUCCAGAUGCUUCUUCAAGUUCCUGCUUUCAGUUCUUUGGGGGAACGGAAGUGAAAUUGCUAAAUCAGAUGGGUCUAUAUUUAAUUGCAUGAGGAACUGCCAUGCUUAAAUUUUGUUUAUGGUUUGGGGUUUCUCUGGAUGGUUCCCUAAUAUUUUUUGGAGUAGCGCCAAAGAACCAAUUUGAAGGAAACUCCUUGUUCUUGUGUCUUCUUACUCUUAGGGGGAUAUUGGCAUGACUUGAGUCAGCUGGCUUGCUGGGCAAGGUGGUGGGGUACAGGGCCGAACUCAGGAGAAUGGUGUUCCCAAUGGGUUAGAGCUGACAUCUCUAAAAAGUAAUAGUUUUGUAGUUCUCUACAGACAACACACCCUUAUUGUGCUUGCGUGUGAGUGAACUCAAUCCGCACUGUGCCCACCUGGCAGACAUUGAGCUUGGCUGGGGUGUUGAGGGCUAGGAGGCCAGGAUUGUCACCAAGUUACAAAUGGCUCCAGGACCUGGUGACUUUACCAGUGAUUCCUCCCACAUCCCGAGGGGCACCAGCACUGCUAUGUAGGUGGCUGUGAAUCGUUGGCAGGAAGGACGGUUUCUAGACCCUCUUCUUGAAGUGCUCAGAGAAGAGAUGCUGAAACCCAGUGACAGAAGCACAGACGGAGAGGUAGGAUGCAGUUCAUUGGGCAGAGUUCUCACCCAGCACUCGCCAACUCCUAGGUUUGAUCCCUGGCACGGAAUAAACCAGCCAUGGUGGCACAUACCUUAAUUUCAGUACUUGAGAGAUGGAGACAGGAGGAUCAGAAGUCUGAGGUAAUCCUCGGCUACAGAGUAGUCCUAGGCCACCCUGGACUACAAGAGAAAGAAAAUAAAAAAGAAAUUGGGGAGAGGACUUGGCUUGGCUGGCCUGACCCAUAAGAAGUCCUGUGUUCAAUCCCCUGUACACACAUAUGGGGCUUGACGGGGAGAGCCAAUCCCAGCACUCAAGAGUCAGAGGCUGAAAGACCAGUUCACAGAGAAGUUAAGUGAGCAGAGGGGCCAGAGAUGGGUCCAAAAAAGUGUCUGACUGUUGGAACUAAGGGAGGUGACAUUGCCUAUUCGCGUAAUAUAUUCCAGUCAUUUGUGUAUCCUCCUGAGGUGGCUCACUGCAGACUUGACUAUGAAUUUCAAAGCCAUAAGCAUACCAGAAGACCCGAGUCAUUCCCUGAGUUAGAUGGUGAGUUCUAAGCCAGCCUAGACACCAUCCUGUCUGAAAAAACAAACAAACAAACAAGCAAAAAAAAAAGUACUCAACUGCCUCGCAACCAGGAUGAAGAGAAAGGCAUUUCCACCAGGAACUUUGCAGCAGGUCUGAGAAUUUAGAAUGAGUUCAGCCUGGGGCUCUGUCUCUGGGAAGUUCCCUGUGGAUAUAUAUUCCCACAGUGAGCCUUGCCCGGCACAGGACAAAGCUGGAAGCAGCUUCUUCUGUGUGUCCCACGAAAAGCUCAGUCAAACCUGUGAUGAACCCCGAGGACUGGAAUUAGUGUUGGGCAGCUGCAAGAUGGCUCAGCGGGUAAAGGAGCUGACCCCAAGCUUGUUGACCUGAGCUCCACCCACCCAACCCCACCAACCUCCAUGGUGGGAAGAGAGACUGGACCCCUUCAA